GACAUGGCUCAGGAUGAACGCUAGCGACAGGCUUAACACAUGCAAGUCGAGGGGCAGCAUGAACUUAGCUUGCUAAGUUUGAUGGCGACCGGCGCACGGGUGAGUAACGCGUAUGCAACUUGCCUAUCAGAGGAGAAUAGCUCAUCGAAAGAUGAAUUAAUGCUCCAUAAAACAGGGGUUCCGCAUGGGAAUAUUUGUUAAAGAUUCAUCGCUGAUAGAUAGG
rnacentral:rRNA from 1 species